CUUCGUGAAGGUAAACUCAUCACUUCCCUCUUGUUUUCACUCUUCAUUGAGCUUCAAUUUCCAUAUUAGAGCCCUAAUCCUAUUUCUCUAUUUUGCUACAUAUUUAUGGGUUCCCGUCGAAGUUUUCCGGCGACAGUGUUCUUGAGCUUUCAACGACCUCGUCAAGUUCAGGUGGAGUCCAAAAGCGUUUCAGUCCCUUGUUCUUGGUAACUGGAUUCUAUUUCUUAAAUCAAGUGCUCUUUAAUUUGUUGCUUUCUGCAAUUUCCAUUUCCAAUCUUCACUAUACUCACUUUGAUUUAAUUAGGAUAGUUUCACUACUCUUUUAAAUGAAAUAGAGAAUUUAUAACCUGCUGGAAAUCAAAUGGUUUGUUCGAAAAGAAUCAUAUGAUAUUUACAUUAUAGUUUUUCUUUACUAAUAUACAUACAUACUCGAUCUAUCAUACUCAUUGAUCGGUAUUUUCACUUUUUAGAGGAUAUUGAGAAUUUAUAACCUGUUUGAAAUCAAUGAUAUAGGUAUUAUAUUUUCCCUUUAUCUAGCUUAAUCAGUUUUUCUAGCUUAAUCAGUUUUUAAUUACCUGGGAUAUAUAUAUAUAUAUAUAUAUAUAUAUGAUCGAGUAUCAGUUUCUUCUUUAGAUCGAUCCCAGAAAAUAGAAAAAACGAAGAGUGCAUGAAAUUAUAUAAAAUACUUAGAAUUAAGGAUGAUCUGGAUCUCCUCAGUUAAAUUGAUUUCAUCUACUAAAAGAGGUUUUUUUGUUAGUUUUCGUUAUGUUAGCUAGCUCCUUGGUCUUCUUAAAAUACUUUUGUGCUUCACAGAGAUAAGAGAACACUGGAUCUUAGGUUGUUAUCAUAGUCCAGCUUGUCACUCCAGGUUGAUCAAUGUGUACGGAUCGCUCAAUUGGUUGUCAAGAUUAAAUAAGAACGCAAGAAGAUAAUUAGUCCUAUUGAUUUCUAUCAUAAACAGCUUUUACCUGGAAGAUAAUAUAGUCAAUUGGGUGCAAUGAUAAAAGUAACUCACUCAAUCUAUCGUACUAAGAAGAGUAAUAAUAUACAGAAAAUCUUCAUCAUCCUCAUCAUAUUAUAGUCAGUUGGGUUAGAUUUUAUAAUUCGGAUUGCAACAAGGAACAAUCCAGUGGGGCAUGAGCGUGAAAAAGUUUCCUUACCAAGAUAACCUGAUGGUGAAUAUAUCAAGGUUACAAGCGCAAAGGCUUUGUGAAUUCGUUUUAGUGAUCGAAAUACGAUAUAUACAUGGCUGAAUACACCAAAGUAAUUACAAGGGUUAUAUCUGUAUGUAUAAUGGUGAAAUUUGAGUGCUGCUAUAUGUAAUUAUAAAAUCCUUACCCCUUGAAAUUUGGCUUUAUGGAAUCUAAUCUGGAUUUUCUGAAGUAUAUUUCCAAUGGGUCCUAUAUUUCCAAGUUCAUGAAAUUCUAUUGUAGCUCAUUCUGUUUCUUUGUGUUUUGAUUCGGUUGCUUGUGCUUUCUGAUUGUGUAUUACCAAUUUGUGUUCCCAAGUUCAAGUUGGUGCCUUAUUGAGCAAUUAGUAUUCGUGCUUCCUGUAAUUGUUUGUGUUCAUUUUAGUUUGAUAUUUGCUUUGCUGAAUGAUCUGAAUUUUGCUAGUUUGGGUGUUGUAGGUGAUUCAUGUCCAUCUCGUGGUUGAUGACUAUGUACUUGAAGGUCUUAUGAUUACCGCAAAGCAGGUAUUACUUUUUCCAUAAACAUAAAAAUGAGUUUUGAUUCUAGGGUGAUAGAAAAAAUUUGAUCUUUCAUCCGUGGCAAGCUGUUCAAUGAUAUUUGGUUUCUUUCAGCUUGUUAUGCCUUCCAAUCAGAUGAUAAGUCAUAAUUGUUAACCAUGUCAAUAUGGCCAAAGGGUAAGUAGAAGUUCAUAGAUGCACAAUUACAACUUUGUUUAGCUGAAUUUGAUGCAGUUGUUUAGCUGAAUUUGAUAAUAUCGUCGUUUUAGGUUGCGGCUACAAAAAACAAGUGGGAGCAAUGAUAUCGAUCGACCACAGGCUCUUCAAGGGAGACCUCUUUGGAGAAGCAUAUUGAAAGGAACCUAAAUUCAGUGUCUGUUGUAGCAUAUAUAUAGGUAAUUAACUUUAAUGUACUUUAAGUCAUGUUUGGUCAUUUGCUUACUAGCUUGAUGUAAUGAGUUAUAUUAAUACAUUCUAAAUUGUUACUUUGUAAAUGACAUUAGUUAUAUUGAUGGUAAUUUGAGUAUGACAUUUGAGUAAGAAGAUUUUUUUUUUUAUUUGAACAUACCUUAUUUACGGCA
rnacentral:lncRNA from 1 species